rfam:Edwardsiella ictaluri 93-146, complete genome.
AUUUCUCUGAGGUGUUCGUGCACGGGCCAGUCCCCUGAGCCGAUAUUUCAAACCUUAAGAAUGUAACGCUCCACAACCGGUGAGCAGGCUCGGUCUCCGAGAAGCCUUAAAGUUGUGACGUUAUGUUCACCUUGAACCCCGGGUUCAAGGGUUACAGCCUGUUACGGCACCUCGGAGAUUCC